CACCGAGAUUUGUUAACGAGGUUCACCAAUAUGGCUACAUCCCCGGGGCAUGACUACGGGCGCUCCUCCCCGUGACACCAUCACAAUACCGCACCCGGUCGCCCUGGACACCGGCACAUGCCGCCGGCUUCCCCUGCGUUCCGGUGCUAUUAUGUUGGCAUCGGUUACAUCGUGUGUCUACCCCCGCUAUAUAUGAGAGGCCUAGGAUACAAGUCCUACUAGGACACGACUCCACAUCCUAUGUAAACACGAUACAACUACAAGUCCAACUGUAACCUACCUUGUACACUAUAUUCGACACAACUCUAACAAACUCCGCCUUGGCGAAUAUUCUCCACCACCUUGAAUUUGUCUAUGCGUCAAACUUCCAUGUACAUUGGACUUGAGCUUAUCCCAUGAGCACCGCUGCUACUCGAAAAACUCCAUGUGACUCCACCUGCAACUUGUAGUCCCUUCUUUUCUUGACCACUGUCAACACUCGAGCAAACUUAAGUUUCUUGUUACUCUAGUCUGUGCUCCCAACUUCCAGAGUAUCCGUCCAACGACAUCACACACUGAUCACUGACCUGCGUGAAAGUGAACAACUUACAUAUUGGGUGUCACACAUAAGAGCUACCUGAACUCAACAUCACCACUCCUUUCUUGACCGCCUGUCUGAAACUUGAAGGAAUUUCACCAUUGCUCGUAGUCAUCCCGAGUCAAAUUCACAGUUGUCUCACCACAUGUAUGACCACCAGAGCCCUGGCCCGUCUCCAUGUCCCGUGCGUACCGCACGCCUCGCCGCUAUUACCGCGUCGAGCCUCCGCUGUCCCGGUCGAGUCUCAAGGGUCGCGAACCCACACCACUCAACCCCCACUGCAGAGUACCAUCGAUCAUCACCGACCGAUGACGAGUUUCACGCUUCCAUCAGACCACUGGGCUCCAAUCCGAACUGCAUGUCACUCGCUUUUCCCACUGAAUAGGCUUCGACUCUCUGUCGACUUACGCCGUAGCCCCUCAAUCAGCUCCACCUUCAACAUGACUCCAUGGUAGAUGAUCAGUCCACCCCCGCGCCUCAUCGACUUCAAGCUCCGUGUAUACACCACCUUGAAUCAAUCCCGUGCCAUAGUCUUGUCAAAGCCACACAAGCCUCAGGCCUGCGCCACGUGUUUCCACGCCCAGAAGUCGGUCACCAUUAGCAUCACGCCCAUAUGUCGUCGCCGAUCCCACCACCGUCUUCUGUACCAACCGACUUGCGUCGAUCUGUCAGACUGUCCAGUCCGACCCAGCCGAACUUCUCCGACUGCAGACACAUUCCAGACUUCCCAAGUCAUCACCGUGACCACCGUCAUCCAUACACACAUGUGUACCGACAAAGAAAACGAAAGAAAAAAUUCCCUCAUAGCUUUCCCGUGUGAACCACACGUAUGUAGCUUCUGGAUCCCUUCUUUUAUUUCUUUCUUGAUGAUAGCAUCACGAUCAAACUCUAGGUCCUUGUGCCAAAAAAAAUUCCCAAACAAAUCUCAUGUCUCAGCACUUCAGCAGCAUUUCCGUACGCUCAGCAGCCUCCUGUGAACAACACGCCUUGACCACCAGCUAUCACAUGCUCCCUCACGGCCCAAUCUAUCUACUGAGCCAUGACCCAGCACGGUCUGCUUGCUCCAGGCGCCACGUGGGCUCCGCGCUGCACCCGGUCCAGACACAUGCGCUGUAUUGCACCCAAUCGACCGUGUCGCUGCCAGGUCCUCAGCCGCCACGCGCACUCAGAUCCAACCUCGUGCACUCCGAGCAUCCGAGCGGACCGUGUUAUGUACGUGCCGCACCUGACGCAGCUUCCUGGACCGCCACGCGUGCCUCGCUGUUGCGCUUCCGCAUCGAACCAACCAACCGCUGCCUGCCCGGAUCGAAUCUGCUGUUGUACGAACUCGCCGAAAACUCUGAUCGCUCUAGACCACCGCUUUGAUCGAAAACUGCCGCUAUUUUUCACCGUUUAGACUGCUUUUGAUCUUUCCGUUGACCUCCACGAACAACUUCGAUCUCACCGCAAUCACCUGGCAACCCUUGCAGCCGCUCCCUCGAUCAAACUGACAUCCUCUAGAUCAACCACCGACCUAGCUUAUGAUACCACUUGUUAGAAUAAAUCCGAGGCAUACCGUCGAUCAUCCAAGGACCAAGCAAUCCAAUGAGCAUAACACCGAGAUUUGUUAACGAGGUUCACCAAUAUGGCUACAUCCCCGGGGCAUGACUACGGGCGCUCCUCCCCGUGACACCAUCACAAUACCGCACCCGGUCGCCCUGGACACCGGCACAUGCCGCCGGCUUCCCCUGCGUUCCGGUGCUAUUAUGUUGGCAUAGGUUACAUCGUGUGUCUACCCCCGCUAUAUAUGAGAGGCC
rnacentral:lncRNA from 1 species